rnacentral:rRNA from 1 species
GAUUAGUGGCGAACGGGUGAGUAACACGUGAGUAACCUGCCCCUGACUCUGGGAUAAGCCCGGGAAACUGGGUCUAAUACUGGAUAUGACCUUUAACCGCAUGGUUUUUGGUGGAAAGAUUUAUCGGUUGGGGAUGGACUCGCGGCCUAUCAGCUUGUUGGUGAGGUAAUGGCUCACCAAGGCGACGACGGGUAGCCGGCCUGAGAGGGUGACCGGCCACACUGGGACUGAGACACGGCCCAGACUCCUACGGGAGGCAGCAGUGGGGAAUAUUGCACAAUGGGCGAAAGCCUGAUGCAGCGACGCCGCGUGAGGGAUGACGGCCUUCGGGUUAUAAACCUCUUUCAGUAGGGAAGAAGCGAAAGUGACGGUACCUGCAGAAGAAGCGCCGGCUAACUACGUGCCAGCAGCCGCGGUAAUACGUAGGGCGCAAGCGUUAUCCGGAUUUAUUGGGCGUAAAGAGCUCGUAGGCGGUUUGUCGCGUCUGCCGUGAAAGUCCGAGGCUCAACCUCGGAUCUGCGGUGGGUACGGGCAGACUAGAGUGAUGUAGGGGAGACUGGAAUUCCUGGUGUAGCGGUGAAAUGCGCAGAUAUCAGGAGGAACACCGAUGGCGAAUGCAGGUCUCUGGGCAUCUACUGACGCUGAGGAGCGAAAGCAUGGGGAGCGAACAGGAUUAGAUACCCUGGUAGUCCAUGCCGUAAACGUUGGGCACUAGGUGUGGGGAACAUUCCACGUUUUCCGCGCCGUAGCUAACGCAUUAAGUGCCCCGCCUGGGGAGUACGGCCGCAAGGCUAAAACUCAAAGGAAUUGACGGGGGCCCGCACAAGCGGCGGAGCAUGCGGAUUAAUUCGAUGCAACGCGAAGAACCUUACCAAGGCUUGACAUGUUCCAGACCGCCUCAUAGAUGGGGUUUCCCUUCGGGGCUGGUUCACAGGUGGUGCAUGGUUGUCGUCAGCUCGUGUCGGGAAAUGUUGGGUUAAGUCCCGCAACGAGCGCAACCCUCGUUCAUGUUGCCACCACGUAAAGGUGGGGACUCUUGGGAAACUGCCG